AUUACCUAAUGGCAGCUGAUAAGUUGGAGAGGUAGUCUCUGUGGAAGCUAAUCCUCUUGUCAUCUUGUAAUGCUUUCUCCAUGUCUUUGAAUGGGUUGUUCUUCUCAUCCAUACCGUUUUCUGUGAUGAAGACAGGAGGGUUUCCGUAGACGUCUUUGAGAUACACUGCUAGUUUCCUGAUUCCCCAUGGGACUAUGUGUAGCCAGCUUGAUCCUGCCUAAUGUCAUUGUCAAGUACUCCUCCUCGAAAUGCUACAACAAUUAGUGAGCAAACAAGAACAUCAGUAGUGAAGAUAUGAUCUGAGAGAUAGUGUGUGUGUGUGUAUGGAUCUUACAGCUUGUGAUCACUGCUGCAUCAGAAGAAGCAUCUUGUAGAAUCAGUUUCCUUAUCCUUGUUCUGUCGUUCCUUGUGUACAGUGUCGUGUAGUGGUUGAUUCCAAAGAAGUCAAAUGCCCCUUUUAUGGUUUUAGACAUCUCUGCUGUUAUCUCUGGUAGUCUCUCUUCCACUAGUCUCUUCAUUGAAGCUGGAUAGUCUCCAUUUAUUAGAGGAUCCAUAAACCUAUUUUCACAUCUCAUUCAGUUUCUUCUUUUACUUACUUUCUCUAAUGCAAAAUUUUCAUAUACAAAAGUGUAUCUUUAUUAUUUUACCAUCCGAUCCCAAAAUCCAUUGCCCUACGAGCUGCAUCUCUGUCCUCAUCACAAUCAGACAUUGGCUCAAACCAUUUUGCAUCUAACGACAUCCCUAUUCGACCACCUUGUUUCUUCUGCAUUUUUACAUUUCCCCACAUUAUAUUCUGUGGACCUAAGAUGUUCAUUUUUUCUGUUAUCUGUGUUCUUUACCUUGAAGUGUCUCUGGUAUGUGUGGUAAGCAGCGGCGUGAGACAAGAGAAUGUUAUGAGCUACAACAUAAGGCUCCACAGAUGACUUCCCUUCCUUACAGAACCAAUGUCCCAGAAGCGAGCACCUCCCUGGAGCCUGUAUCCCUGUGUCAUAGCCUUGGAUCGUUAGCCCGCGUGGCUCAUUGAAAGUGAUCCAGUACUUCACUCUGUCUCCGAAUGCUUUGAAACAGGAUUUAGCAUUUUACUUACACGACUUGUCUGCUCAGCCAUCCUUCAUAUCUGUCUUCUAAAGCUUGUGGGAGAUCCCAGUGAUACAAUGUCACAUAAGUUUGUAGAAGAAGGAGAAGAAUGUCACCUGGUAAGCUGAAGAAGCUGUCCCGAACACAAACCCAUCUGGAAAACUCUCUCUGGUAAUAGAUUCCGAUGAAACUUGCUGACGAGACGCGAUGAAGAACAGAUACAUAACCAGGACGAGUCUCAUGAUAUAUUCCAUUCGUUGGCUGGCAUGAAUAAAGGAAAGCGAGACAGAGAAAAGAUAUAGGAGUGAAAUUGUUUGGGAAAGGAAAGAUUUGGAGGCAAGAAAGUGUGAGUUAUUAUGUGCAAAGCAAAAGGGCUCCUCUCUUAUGUGAAGGCUCUUCUUUGGUGUUGACAUUUGUGUUUCUCUCUUCUUAUAUUAUUGUGUACACGUUGCUUUUACUUCUUCUGCCAAAGACUAAAAGUGUACUCUAAGAUGAAUAUAAGUUUGUUAGUGAGACAUUGAUUCACUUAAAUAAAUACCUUUGCUUUUUUGCAUUA